CACCUCCGGUGCGUUCCCUCCUUCCCAAUCCACAGGCGCAGGAGAGAUGAGGCGCGCAAGUUGAGCUUUCGCAGAGUCUAAGAACUGCGAGAUGCUCUGCAACUCGUGACGCUGGCGGAGUGUAUCGCGAACAGGCCCGAAGAGCUCGGCCACCGCGGCCUCUGUAGACAAGGCCGAGACGCGGUCGCCGGCUGUUGCAGUGAGAUAUGACAUCAAAACCAUGACUCAUGAAAGAAAAACUGGUGAGGUGGACUUCACUAAAUAAAGACCACCUAGAAGCAUGAGUCUUUGGGGACCUGGUCUGCAACCUUACAGUGAAGACCCAUACUGGCCAUGCAGCGCACCUUGUGGUGGGGUCCUGACUCAGGUCAGAUGCACUGGGCCUCUGGGCAGUGGUUACUUAGUACCAGCCUAGCUUCUCCAAGCUUUUGGGGACCUGCUUUCAGGUGGGCUGAGUUGUUGGCUUCCACCUUUUUGUUACUGUGAGAAUAAUAACUACAUAUAAGCUCAUCAUGUCCCAGAAACCAGAGGACCAGUGUCAACACACAGGCAAACAGCCAGAUCACCUGGGCUGGGUAUGUGGCUUGGGCAGCACAAAAACAAAAAAAUAAAGAUCACUGAUGGAACUAAG